GAUGAACGCUGACAGAAUGCUUAACACAUGCAAGUCAACUUGAAUUUGGGUUUUUAACUUAGGUUUGGGUGGCGGACGGGUGAGUAACGCGUAAAGAACUUGCCUCACAGCUAGGGACAACAUUUGGAAACGAAUGCUAAUACCUAAUAUUAUGAUAAUAGGGCAUCCUAUAAUUAUGAAAGCUAUAAGCGCUGUGAGAGAGCUUUGCGUCCCAUUAGCUAGUUGGAGAGGUAACGGCUCACCAAGGCGAUGAUGGGUAGCCGGUCUGAGAGGGUGAUCGGCCACAAGGGGACUGAGACACGGCCCUUACUCCUACGGGAGGCAGCAGUGGGGAAUACUGGACAAUGGACCGAGAGUCUGAUCCAGCAAUUCUGUGUGCACGAUGAAGUUUUUCGGAAUGUAAAGUGCUUUCAGUUGGGAAGAAACAAAUGACGGUACCAACAGAAGAAGUGACGGCUAAAUACGUG
rnacentral:rRNA from 1 species